AAAAACUAUAUUACAAAUGUUCCCAAAAAUAUGUAAAAUUAAGUGUUAUUUAGUUUAGAUGCUGGUUCAAAAUGAUGCUAAAAUAUGAAUUUAUAGGAUUCAGCACAUUUUAAAAGAGUAAACUGUAACAUAUUACGAUUUUUUAACUGACAUACGAACCAAUUUCCUUAGAACACACACACACCAAAAACAGUGUUUUUCUUAUGUAAAAUUGUAAUUACAUCGAUUUUUUAUUGGGUAAACGCCAUUAAUUCGCUUUUUAUUUUAUUUUUCACAUUGUCAAAAAUAAAAGAGAAAUUAUGUCAAUUUUAUAGAUUUUCUAACGUGCUAUAUAAUGUUUAAGAAAUUGCGGCGGGGAUACUCUACCAUCCAUUGCACUUUGUCUUCAUGUGCAAGUGCAACCCGUGAUGUAAUCGUUUGAUUUUAUACCAAAACUCGAAAAACUAAUUUAUAAUCCAAAAUAGUGUAUUACCUUACUUUUGAAUAUAGCCUAAUGUAAUUUAUCUUUAAAUCAUGAUUUGAACUUUUCUUUUAAAAGAUAAAAUAUGUAUCUUUAAAUUUUUUUUAUUUUUUUAUCUGUUGUGUGUCCAUGUAAACAUAUAUAUUCAAACUCAAUGUGGACAUACAUGUUUUAUAUAUGUCAAUUCUUUCAGAUAGUUAUUUUUAAGUUUUUAUCGCUAAAAUAGCACUAAAAUAAUCUAAAAUAGUCUUUUUUAUUUUGACUUUUUAACUUUUAAUUUUUAAUUUAAAAAAAAAUCUUAAAAGU
rnacentral:lncRNA from 1 species